rnacentral:rRNA from 1 species
GACGAACGCUGGCGGCGUGCUUAACACAUGCGAGUCGAACGGAAAGGCCCUGCUUUUGUGGGGUGCUCGAGUGGCGAACGGGUGAGUAACACGUGAGUAACCUGCCCUUGACUUUGGGAUAACUUCAGGAAACUGGGGCUAAUACCGGAUAGGAGCUCCUGCUGCAUGGUGGGGGUUGGAAAGUUUCGGCGGUUGGGGAUGGACUCGCGGCUUAUCAGCUUGUUGGUGGGGUAGUGGCUUACCAAGGCUUUGACGGGUAGCCGGCCUGGGAGGGUGACCGGCCACAAUAGGACUGAGGUACGGCGCAGACUCCUACGGGAGGCAACAGUGGGGAGUAUUGCACAAUGGGCGGAAGCCUGAUGCAGCAACGCCGCGUGCGAGAUGACGGCCUUCGGGUUGUAAACCGCUUUCGCCUGUGACGAAGCGUGAGUGACGGUAAUGGGUAAAGAAGCACCGGCUAACUACGUG